rnacentral:rRNA from 1 species
GAUGAACGCUGGCGGCGUGCCUAAUACAUGCAAGUCGAGCGAACAGACGAGGAGCUUGCUCCUCUGACGUUAGCGGCGGACGGGUGAGUAACACGUGGAUAACCUACCUAUAAGACUGGGAUAACUUCGGAAAACCGGAGCUAAUACCGGAUAAUAUAUUGAACCGCAGGGUUCAAUAGUGAAAGACGGUUUUGCUGUCACUUAUAGAUGGAUCCGCGCCGCAUUAGCUAGUUGGUAAGGUAACGGCUUACCAAGGCAACGAUGCGUAGCCGACCUGAGAGGGUGAUCGGCCACACUGGAACUGAGACACGGUCCAGACUCCUACGGGAGGCAGCAGUAGGGAAUCUUCCACAAUGGGCGAAAGCCUGACGGAGCAACGCCGCGUGAGUGAUGAAGGUCUUCGGAUCGUAAAACUCUGUUAUUAGGGAAGAACAAAUGUGUAAGUAACUAUGCACGUCUUGACGGUACCUAAUCAGAAAGCCACGGCUAACUACGUG